UGGGGAAUUUUGCACAAUGGAGGAAACUCUGAUGCAGCGACGCCGCGUGAGUGAUGAAGAUCUUCGGAUUGUAAAACUCUGUCCUUAGUGAAGAUAAUGACAGUAACUAAGAAGCAAGCCCUGGCUAAAUACGUGCCAGCAGCCGCGGUAAUACGUAUGGGGCAAGCGUUGUCCGGAAUUAUUGGGCGUAAAGGGUACGUAGGCGGUGUAAUAAGUCCUAAUUAAAAGGCUAUGGCUCAACCAUAGUAUGGUUAGGAAACUGUUGAACUUGAGUAGAUGAGGGGAAAGUGGAAUUCCAUGUGUAGCGGUGAAAUGCGUAGAUAUAUGGAGGAACACCAAUGGCGAAGGCAACUUUCUGGAAUCAAACUGACGCUGAGGUACGAAGGAGUGGGGAGCAAACAGG
rnacentral:rRNA from 1 species